AAGCUCGUAGUUGGAUCUGCGGUCAAGGGAAGUGGUCCUCCGACGGAUGGUUACUGCUUUUCCUGACCUAACUACUUCGGUUUUCCCUUGAUGCUCUUAACCGGGUGUCUUGGGCGACCGAAACGUUUACUUUGAAAAAAUUAGAGUGCUCAAAGCAGGCGUUCAGCCUGAAUAGUGGUGCAUGGAAUAAUAAAAGAGGAUCUCGGUUCUAUUUUGUUGGUAUUGGAUUGAGAUAAUGAUCGACGGGGAUAGACGGGGGCAUUCGUAUUGCGACGUUAGAGGUGAAAUUCUUGGAUCGUCGCCAGACGAACAACUGCGAAGGCAUUUGCCAAGAAUAUGCUCUUCAAUCAAGAACGAAAGCGAGAGGCGCGAACGCGAUCAGAUACCGCGGUAGUUCUCGCCGUAAACGAUGCCAACUAGCGAUCCGCCGGAGUUAAAUGAUGACUCGGCGGGCAGCUUCCGGGAAACCAAAGUUUUUGGGUUCCGGGGGAAGUAUGGUUGCAAAGCUGAACUUAAAGGAAUUGACGGAAGGGCACCACCAGGAGUGGAGCCUGCGGCUUAAUUUGACUCAACACGGGGAAACUCACCCGGCCCGGACACCGUAAGGAUUGAC
rnacentral:rRNA from 1 species